rnacentral:tRNA from 1 species
GGGGGGGUGGCUGAGCGGUUUAAGGCACCUGAUUCGAAAUCAGGAGUGGGAGCAAUCCCACCGCGGGUUCGAAUCCCGCCCCCUCCG